rnacentral:rRNA from 1 species
UAAUGCAAGUCGAACGCUUUGUGGUUCAACUGAUUUGAAGAGCUUGCUCAGAUAUGACGAUGGACAUUGCAAAGAGUGGCGAACGGGUGAGUAACACGUGGGAAACCUACCUCUUAGCAGGGGAUAACAUUUGGAAACAGAUGCUAAUACCGUAUAACAAUGACAACCGCAUGGUUGUUAUUUAAAAGAUGGUUCUGCUAUCACUAAGAGAUGGUCCCGCGGUGCAUUAGCUAGUUGGUAAGGUAAUGGCUUACCAAGGCGAUGAUGCAUAGCCGAGUUGAGAGACUGAUCGGCCACAAUGGGACUGAGACACGGCCCAUACUCCUACGGGAGGCAGCAGUAGGGAAUCUUCCACAAUGGGCGAAAGCCUGAUGGAGCAACGCCGCGUGUGUGAUGAAGGGUUUCGGCUCGUAAAACACUGUUGUAAGAGAAGAAUGACAUUGAGAGUAACUGUUCAAUGUGUGACGGUAUCUUACCAGAAAGGAACGGCUAAAUACGUGCCAGCAGCCGCGGUAAUACGUAUGUUCCAAGCGUUAUCCGGAUUUAUUGGGCGUAAAGCGAGCGCAGACGGUUAUUUAAGUCUGAAGUGAAAGCCCUCAGCUCAACUGAGGAAUUGCUUUGGAAACUGGAUGACUUGAGUGCAGUAGAGGAAAGUGGAACUCCAUGUGUAGCGGUGAAAUGCGUAGAUAUAUGGAAGAACACCAGUGGCGAAGGCGGCUUUCUGGACUGUAACUGACGUUGAGGCUCGAAAGUGUGGGUAGCAAACAGGAUUAGAUACCCUGGUAGUCCACACCGUAAACGAUGAGUGCUAGGUGUUUGAGGGUUUCCGCCCUUAAGUGCCGCAGCUAACGCAUUAAGCACUCCGCCUGGGGAGUACGACCGCAAGGUUGAAACUCAAAGGAAUUGACGGGGGACCCGCA